UCCCUGAUGGCUCAGUUGGUAAAGAAUCUGCCUGCAAUGCAGGAGACCCUGGUUUGAUUCCUGGGUUGGGAA
rnacentral:tRNA from 1 species